rnacentral:tRNA from 1 species
CCAAUGGAUAGCUCAUUUGGUAGAGCAACUGAAUGUAAUCAGUGUGUAGCGGGUUCGAAUCCCGUUCCAGAACCU